rnacentral:rRNA from 1 species
AGUCACUGACAUUAGAUACCCGCGUAGUCCCAGCCGUAAACAAUGUGCGUUAGGUGUGUCGGUAACCACGCGUUACUGAUGCGCCGAAGAGAAAUCGUGAAACGCACCACCUGGGAAGUACGGUCGCAAGGCUGAAACUUAAAGGAAUUGGCGGGGAGCACCACAACAGGUGGAGCCUGCGGUUUAAUUGGAUUCAACGCCGGACAUCUCACCGGAUAAGACAGCUGAAUGAUUGUCAAUCUGAAGGUUUUACAUGACUAGCUG